rnacentral:rRNA from 1 species
UACAGAGGUCUCAAGCGUUGUUCGGAUUCAUUGGGCGUGAAGGGUGCGUAGGUGGCGUCGUAAGUGGGGUGUGAAAUCCCGGGGCUUAACCCCGGGACUGCAUUCCAUACUGCGGUGCUUGAGGACUGGAGAGGAGACUGGAAUUUACGGUGUAGCAGUGAAAUGCGUAGAGAUCAUGAGGAAGACCAGUGGCGAAGGCGGGUCUCUGGACAGUUCCUGACACUGAGACACGAAGGCCAGGGGAGCAAACGGG